AAGAACUGAUUCUAUCAAAAUCUAUUUUAUAAAAGAUAAUUCUAUCAAAAUAUGAUAAUUGAUUCUUUCCACCGCACAACCAAUCAAGACAUAAUGAAACCUCCUAAUAACCACAUCUAACUUUCAGAAACCUCAAAAAGAUCGUAAAAUAUCACAAUCACAGUGGCCAACUGAGUUUCCAAACACAUAACCAGUGACAUGGUUACUAUAACAUAUAACUGAUAUGACUGGUCAAAAUAUAAAUAAAGAUGAAAAA
rnacentral:lncRNA from 1 species